GCGCUCAAGCGGGCGGCCGACACCGCGCCGUCUGGCCAUAUGUAUAUAUAUAUAUUAUAUCUCUUUUUUUGUGUCAGAUGAGUAGGAGGGCGUGGCGGCCGUGUCGAAGCAUGCGUGCAGACGCUUGUGGAACGGCCGCUAGUGCAGAUCUUGGUGGUAGUAGCAAGUAUUCAAGCGAGAUCCUUGAAGGGCGAAGCGGGGAAGGGUUCCACACGAACAUUGAUUGGGCGUGGGUGAGUCGUUCCUAAGCCGAGUGGCAAUUGCUAAGUAUCGGCGAAAGGGAAGCGGGUUGAAAUUCCCGCACACGGAUGUGGACGCGGUGACGCUUUAAUGCGGCGAACACGCUGGCGACGGCGCUGGGCAGAGUUGUCUUUUCUGUUUGACCUUCUCAGCGCGCUGUGUGGAAUCCGCUUGUCGGGAGAAACACGCUCGCACGGGCAGAGCGCCGGGCCUUUUCCGGCGUCCAGCUCGCCGUCGACGGCCCUUGAAACUUUGCCUGCUGAUUUUCACCUCUAUCUUUUUUUCUUAAAAACGAUACAUGAAAUAAAUUCCACGCCGUGGCGUACCGAUCACCGCAUCAGGUCCCCAAGGUGAACAGCCUCUGCUCAGUAUGAAUAAUGCAGGUAAGGGAAGUCGGCAAAUUAGACCCGUAACUUUGGGAUAAGGGUUGGCUCUAGUGCUGCGUGGGACUGGUUGACCAGUGUCGAUCCCUCCAGGGAGACUGGCUGUGCGCGGGACCCGCAAGGGACUUGUUCACAGCUGUUUCCUAGUUGGCGACCGCUCAGGCCCACCCCCACAGCAUGCAGCAGACUAGAACUGCAACGGGCAANNNGAAUCCGACUG
rnacentral:rRNA from 1 species